GCCACGUCAGCAUACAUGUGAAGUCUUCUUUUUCCGUCUAGUCGGUAAGCCUAUUCCACCAAGUCUAGAUGGAUUUUCCAGCUGCCUUGUGAUUUGAUUAACCCAAGUUAAUUCUCAUCAGAUGAUUUGAAACAGUCUGGUCCAACUUCUUCAGAUACCUUGGUAGUUGCAAACUGAUCUCUACCUACUCAGAACUACCCAGGAUCACUUCCUAUAAUUCAGAUCAUCUGUGUUGCCUUUGGGGUCUGAUUCAAAUUCUGCUAAACCAGCAUAACAACCCCCCCUUGAUCUAACAGGCUUUGGACCAGCCUCCCAUCUCUUUGAGACAGCAGGUCAUAUAUCUGACUAAAGAUUAGUACAGCACCCAGCGUUGACCCAAGAAGGUGUACCCAGAACCACAUCUCAGCUCUGGGCAGUUCUGACCAUCUUCAGAUACCAAAGAGCCUCAGAAAUAACAACAUACCAAAAAGUCCUCGGCACAUGGAUUUUGGGGCAUAAAGAGAAUGUAAGAUCUGCCAUCUAAAUAAAAGUCUCCCCCAGCCGUACCACACUAUGAGGAUUUCAGCCAGAUGCUGCUGCUUCUUGGGCUGUGGGGCUGGAACUGCAAAGUAGUUGAAUCAAGAGAGUGGCCAUACAGAAGGAAGUUGUGGAGGAAUAUGGAAAAGAUCUGUCUGCAUCACAGCACUCGGUUCAUCUCCUUGGCAGGGGCCUUUCUAUCAGCAGCAGCGCCUAAUC
rnacentral:lncRNA from 7 species